rnacentral:rRNA from 1 species
AACGGACGCUGGCGGCGUGCUUAACACAUGCAAGUCGAGCGACUGCAUUCUUUUCGGAGGGUGUAUGGAGCGGCGAACGGGUGAGUAACACGUGAGUAAUCUGCCUUUGGCUUGGGAAUAACUUCGGGAAAUCGGGGCUAAUGCCUGAUGUUUACUGUCUGCUGCAUGGUGGGUGGUGGAAAGAUUUUUUGGCCAGGGAUGAGCUCGCGGUCUAUCAGCUUGUGGUGGGGUAAUGGCUUACCAAGGCUUUGACGGGUAGCCGGCCUGAGAGGGUGUUCGGCCACACUGGGACUGAGACACGGCCCAGACUCCUACGGGAGGCAGCAGUGGGGAAUAUUGCGCAAUGGGCGUAAGCCUGACGCAGCGACGCCGCGUGAGGGAUGACGGCUGGU